CUGACAACCUUGUCUCCCUGGUUGGGAAACGAGACUCCGGGACAAGAAGAAACUUGUCUGGGACAUCCAGUCAGCUCGUGGCGGACGUUAGAAUGGGGCUCUUCUGACUGCAGUUGCCUGGCACUGGGGAAAACAUGGAUGAGCACAGGAACCAUAAGAAUAUCGAUGAUGCGCUGGAGAGAUGGCUCAGCGGUUGAGAGCACUGACUGCUCUUCCAAAAGUUGUGAGUUCCAAUCCCAGAAACCACAUAAUGGCUGACAACCAUCUGUAAUGAGAUCUGAUGCCUUCUUCUGGGGUGUCUGAAGAUAGCUGCAGUGAGCGAGCGGGGCCAGCGUGAGAAGCAAAAGUGUCUGAAGACAGCUACAG
rnacentral:lncRNA from 1 species